GGGGUUGUAGCUUAAUGGUAGAGUGCUUGCCUAGCAUGUGCGAGGCCCUGGGUUUGAUCCUCAGCACCCCA
rnacentral:tRNA from 1 species